ACACAAAUCUCAUAAUAAUUCCUUUUUUAUUCUUGCAUCUCUCAUUGCAUGCUAAUAUAUUCUUGGAAAAUGAUAAAAUGACUACUAAAAUUUGACUACUUUGUUACUCCCUAACAUGACUUUUUAAUUUCUGAUUUCUUUUCCUUUUGAAACAAUCCAAACUCUUGUCCAGCCUCUUCACGUGAUGCAGUGGAGCAGGUCGGCAGUGAAGAAGGGUUCCAAGUUCCGAAAGUUCCUCGACGCCUUCUUCAUUGACCGUAACUUCUUCCCAGCCAUUCGCCUCAUACUCCCCAACCUCGCGAGCGCGACUCUUACGGCCUCAAGGAAUUCGUCCUCGCCACCUCCCUCAUCGACGCCCUUGGCAUCUCCCGUUACUCCCUCGAUGCCCUCCGACUCAUCAAUUGGCGUAAAGGUGGCACCGCCACCAACGCUACAGUCGGAAAUUUCGGCCUCGUCGCCAUUGAGGUGCUGCACAACAGGCAAGGGACCGCUUCAGGAGGGUUGACGAUAAGGGAGUUGAAUGAAUUGCUUUACCGAUUGGCUUCCGGUGAAAACAGAAUUAUGAUCCAAAACUCUCUGAUAAUGGGUUGACAAAAAAUGGACUAGAAGGUGACAAGAGUCAUGUUUGUACAAGGGUGAUGGGCACCUUUGGCUACGUUGCUCUUGAUUAUAUUGCCACAGGUGACCUAAGGAUAAGGAGUGACAUAUAUAGUUUUGGAGUUCUUUUAAGCUUGAGAGAAGACGAACCUCCAAUAGCGGCAACAUGAUGAAGACCUCUAAGAGCAAAAAGAGAAGAAGAAUAGCUAAAUCUAAAUUUGCACAAUUUCAAGAAUAUCCAAUUUUCCAUGACUUUUGUAUGUAUUAUUAGUAUUAUUAAUGUAUUGUGUUAUCUCAUCAAACA